UACGGAGGGGGCUAGCGUUGUUCGGAAUUACUGGGCGUAAAGCGUACGUAGGCGGCUUUGUAAGUUAGAGGUGAAAGCCCGGGGCUCAACUCCGGAAUUGCCUUUAAGACUGCAUCGCUUGAAUCAUGGAGAGGUGAGUGGAAUUCCGAGUGUAGAGGUGAAAUUCGUAGAGAUGCGGAGGAACACCGAUGGCGAAGGCGGCAUCCUGGACCAACACUGACGCUGAGGAGCGAAAGCCAGGGGAGCAAACGGG
rnacentral:rRNA from 1 species